GCCAGGCACUGUGGUGCAUGCCUGUCAUCCCAGCAGCUUGGGAGGCUGAGACAGGAGGAUCGUGAGUUCAAAGCCAGCAUCAAGAAAAGUGAGGCACUAAGCAACUCGGUGAGAACCUGUCUCUA
rnacentral:sRNA from 1 species